rnacentral:rRNA from 1 species
AUUGAACGCUGGCGGCAGGCUUAACACAUGCAAGUCGAGCGAGCGGCGGACGGGUGAGUAAUGUCUGGGAAACUGCCUGAUGGAGGGGGAUAACUACUGGAAACGGUAGCUAAUACCGCAUACCAUCAGAUGUGCCCAGAUGGGAUUAGCUAGUAGGUGGGGUAAUGGCUCACCUAGGCGACGAUCCCUAGCGGGUCUGAGAGGAUGACCAGCCACACUGGAACUGAGACACGGUCCAGACUCCUACGGGAGGCAGCAGUGGGGAAUAUGGCACAAUGGGCGCAAGCCUGAUGCAGCCAUGCCGCGUGUGUGAAGAAGGCCUUCGGGUGGUAAAGUACGUUCAGCGGGGAGGCGUUACUCGCAGAAGAAGCACCGGCUAACUCCGUGCCAGCAGCCGCGGUAAUAC